AAACUGCUUGCACUGGAAAUUGUAUGUUAAGAACCAAUAAAAACUUCUUGAAAAUUGAAUUGGUUCACCCAGGGUGAGGCUCAGCCAUUGCACUCCGGUUGUGCUGACCCCUGCGAAUUCCCCAAAUGUGGGAAUCUCGACUGCAUAAUUUCUGGUAGUGGGGGACUGCGUUCGCGCUCUCCUCUG
ensembl:snRNA U1 U1 spliceosomal RNA